rnacentral:rRNA from 1 species
CAGCCGCCGCGGUAAUGCGUAGGUGGCAAGCGUUGUCCGGAACUAUUGGGCGUAAAGGGCUCGCAGGCGGUUUCUUAAGUCUGAUGUGAAAGCCCCCGGCUCAACCGGGGAGGGUCAUUGGAAGCUGGGAAACUUGAGUGCAGAAGAGGAGGGUGGAAUUCCACGUGUAGCGGUGAAAUGCGUAGAGAUGUGGAGGAACACCAGUGGCGAAGGCGACUCUCUGGUCUGUAACUGACGCUGAGGAGCGAAAGCGUGGGGAGCGAACAGGAUUAGAUACCCCAGUAGUCCCUGUCUCUUAUAA